CCUACGGGACGCAGCAGUGAGGAAUAUUGGUCAAUGGACGAGAGUCUGAACCAGCCAAGUAGCGUGAAGGAUGACUGCCCUAUGGGUUGUAAACUUCUUUUAUAAAGGAAUAAAACGAGGCACGUGUGCCUUUUUGCAUGUACUUUAUGAAUAAGGAUCGGCUAACUCCGUGCCAGCAGCCGCGGUAAUACGGAGGAUCCGAGCGUUAUCCGGAUUUAUUGGGUUUAAAGGGAGCGUAGGCCGGUCUUUAAGCGUGCCGUGAAAUUUUGUGGCCCAACCAUGAGAGUGCGGCGCGAACUGGAGAC
rnacentral:rRNA from 1 species